rnacentral:rRNA from 1 species
UGCCAGCCGCCGCGGUAAUACGGAGGGAGCAAGCGUUGCUCGGAAUCACUGGGCGUAAAGGGCCUGUAGGCGGUUCGUUAAGUCUGAUGUGAAAGCCCGGGGCUCAACCCCGGAAGUGCAUUGGAAACUGGCGAACUUGAGUACGGGAGAGGAAAGUGGAAUUCCGAGUGUAGAGGUGAAAUUCGUAGAUAUUCGGUGGAACACCAGUGGCGAAGGCGGCUUUCUGGACCGAUACUGACGCUGAGACGCGAAAGCGUGGGGAGCAAACAGGAUUAGAUA